AUUGAACGCUGGCGGCAGGCCUAACACAUGCAAGUCGAACGAGUGGCGGACGGGUGAGUAAUGGAGGGGAAACUGCCUGACGGAGGGGGAUGACUACUGGAAACGGUAGAUACUAGCGCAUACGAUGGGAUGUGCCCAGAGGGGAUUAGCUAGUAGGUGGGGUAACGGCUCACCGAGGCGACGAGCCCUAGCUGGUCUGAGAGGAUGAGCAGCCACACUGGAACUGAGACACGGUCCAGACUCCUACGGGAGGCAGCAGUAGGGAAUAUUGCACAAUGGGCGCAAGCCUGAUGCAGCCAUGCCGCGUGUAUGAAGAAGGCCUUCGGGUUGUAAAGUACUUUUAGUGGAGAGGCGUUACCCGCAGAGGAAGCCCCGGCUAACUCCGUGCCAGCAGCCGCGGUAAUAC
rnacentral:rRNA from 1 species